rnacentral:rRNA from 1 species
GAUCUUGGUCAGGACGAACGCUGGCGGCGUGCCUAACACAUGCAAGUCGAGCGAGGAGAUCCUUCGGGAUGAUCCUAGCGGCGGACGGGUGAGUAACACGUGGGCAACCUGCCUCAUAGAGAGGAGUAGCCUUCCGAAAGGGAGAUUAAUACCUCAUAACAUUGCAGUUUCGCAUGGAACAGCAAUUAAAGGAGUAAUCCGCUAUGAGAUGGGCCCGCGGCGCAUUAGCUAGGUUGGUGAGGUAACGGCUCACCAAGGCGACGAUGCGUAGCCGACCUGAGAGGGUGAUCGGCCACAUUGGGACUGAGACACGGCCCAGACUCCUACGGGAGGCAGCAGUGGGGAAUAUUGCACAAUGGGGGAAACCCUGAUGCAGCCAACGCCGCGUGAGUGAUGACGGCCUUCGGGUUGUAAAGCUCUGUCUUCAGGGACGAUAAUGACGGUACCUGAGGAGGAAGCCACGGCUAACUACGUGCCAGCAGCAGC